CAUGCAAGUCGAACGGAAAGGCCCUUCGGGGUACACGAGUGGCGAACGGGUGAGUAACACGUGGGUGAUCUGCCCUGCACUUCGGGAUAAGCCUGGGAAACUGGGUCUAAUACCGGAUAUGACCAUGCGCUUCACGGUGUGUGGUGGAAAGCUUUUGCGGUGUGGGAUGGGCCCGCGGCCUAUCAGCUUGUUGGUGGGGUAAUGGCCUACCAAGGCGACGACGGGUAGCCGGCCUGAGAGGGUGUCCGGCCACACUGGGACUGAGAUACGGCCCAGACUCCUACGGGAGGCAGCAGUGGGGAAUAUUGCACAAUGGGCGCAAGCCUGAUGCAGCGACGCCGCGUGGGGGAUGACGGCCUUCGGGUUGUAAACCUCUUUCAGUAGGGACGAAGCGCAAGUGACGGUACCUACAGAAGAAGCACCGGCCAACUACGUGCCAGCAGCCGCGGUAAUACGUAGGGUGCGAGCGUUGUCCGGAAUUACUGGGCGUAAAGAGCUCGUAGGUGGUUUGUCGCGUUGUUCGUGAAAACUCACA
rnacentral:rRNA from 1 species